GACGAACGCUGGCGGCGUGCUUAACACAUGCAAGUCGAACGGGGUUAAGGAGCUUGCUUCUUAACUUAGUGGCGAACGGGUGAGUAACGCGUGAGGAACCUGCCUUUCAGUGGGGGACAACAGUUGGAAACGACUGCUAAUACCGCUUGAUACUAUCGGGCCGCAUGGUCUGGUAGUCAAAGAUUUAUUGCUGAAAGAUGGCCUCGCGUCUGAUUAGCUAGUUGGUGGGGUAACGGCCCACCAAGGCGACGAUCAGUAGCCGGACUGAGAGGAUGACCGGCAACAUUGGGACUGAGAUACGGCCCAGACUCCUACGGGAGGCAGCAGUGGGGAAUAUUGGGCAAUGGGCGAAAGCCUGACCCAGCAACGCCGCGUGAAGGAAGAAGGCCUUCGGGUUGUAAACUUCUUUUACCAGGGACGAACACAAUGACGGUACCUGGAGAAAAAGCAACGGCUAACUACGUGCCAGCAGCCGCAGUAAGAC
rnacentral:rRNA from 1 species